GAAUCAAGCUACUCCCAGCUUCUGCACACAUCUGGUCCAACACUACUUUGGGAUAUGUUUUGCUAAGGUUGCUGUUCUGCCUGGAAGGCCCUCAUUCCUCAGCUGCAUGACCCGAGGUUUCCUUCCUCUAAGACCUUGCUAGCGGCUCCUAGAUGCCUUCCAAACCAAAUUCUCUUCUAUGAGAUCAGCUCUCAGCUUUGUAUUCCCUGGCACUUAUGGAGUAUGUUAUGGAGAAAGACUGUCUAGUUGAAGGAAAACAAGCUCUGGGCUCCCACUGAUUCUACGUUAUGUUUAAAAGCUAAAGCCAAGCCAGGAAGAGGAAGACAAGAUGAGAAACCCCAAAUCAAGGUAAGAGAAGAAAAUAAGUGCAACAUGCCAGAAAUCCAGUAAAGCAGUUCAAGUAUCAGAAGAGCAUGAAUCAAAACCAAGUGCAAGAAAAGGCACCUUGACAUUGAACUGAAGGCCACCAGGUACUCACUGGGUCAAUGACUCUUCUCAUUUUUAUUCUCCUGCCAGUGCUUCCAAUCGCUGAACUGAACUGGAAACAAAUCAACAAGGGAAACCAAGAGAUGCAUUCCUUGAAGUUCAGCCUCCUGGCCUCAAGUAAGGCAGAGGAAGAGAAUACAUAGAUCUGUGGAGAAGAGUGGUGAUGGUGGGAGCUGCCAAUAAAGAACUAUCAAAAAAGGAUGAUGCAACAGAAAAGCCGUCACCAGAUACCAGCACCUUAAUGUUGGACUUCUCAGCCUCCAGAACUGUAAGAAAUAAAUCCCUGUUCUUUAUAAAUUACCCAGUCUCAGGUAUCCUGCUAUAGCAGCACAAAAUGGACUAUGAUAGAAAAUUGGUAUGAAGGAGUAGUACCAUAGUUAUAACAAAUACCUAAAAAUGGAAGCCACUCUGGAAAUGGGUAAGGGGUAGAGUAUGGAAGAAUUUAGAGGAGCAGGCUAGAAAAAGCCUAAAUUGCUGUGUAUUACUCCAGGAUGGUAAGAAAUAAAUCUCUGUUCUUUAUAAAUUGCCCAGACUCACAGCACAAAACAAAUUAAGACAUUAAGAUUUGCCCCAUUCUUAGAAUUCAUUUCUUCCAUUUUCCCUUUAAUUAAAUCAAUGCCAGCAUCUAAGCAGUGUGCACCUUUUGACCAUAGUCUUUCUAAUUGACCAGAAGCUUAGAUGUGGAAAAUGCAAAAACUAUGCACAUUUCUGGUGGGUUUAACUUCUGAGAAAUUUUUACAAGGUUUUCCUUAUUUUAUCUGCUCCAGUAAACCUGUGGUUUCAUGAACAGGCCUAGAAUUUGAGAUCCAGCUUCUAAACUUCAAAGGUGACUUUUCAACCCAUUUGUUUAUAGACUUGGUAUUAACCUUUUGAGUUCUAGAAUAGGGUUUUAGAACUUACUUUCAUAAAAGUUUAUAUAGUCAAUUCCAUUCAUUUAUGCUAAGGACAUAGAAUAUUUCUAGAUUGCACAAUAUGUUUCUGUGGGAAUUGAAUGGAAAUCCAGGUUUCCUGACAAGAAACAAAGGAUCUCUUAGUCUCUCUUGAUCCCAGUCACUUCUGAAGAAAAAAAAUUAUUUACCUGAAGUACAUUGCUUCCUUGUGGGAUUCUUUUUUUUAAAUGCUGGAUUGUGGAUUAAAUAAAAAGAUCCGAGAAAUAGGUCAGAAAUUAAAUCCUGGUGUUGUCAUGGUUUUUUUUAAAUAGCACCCUUGAAAUUGGUUGCAGAACAUACAUUUUAUCUGAUUCUAAUUAUGUGGAAUUUCGAAGUCAUUUUGGUAACAGAAACUACUCUAACCUGUUAUUAAACUCAGGAUUUUUUUAAGAAAUAAAAAUUGCUUGGUAAGAAUAUUAACGUUUAAAAAACUAUUAAUGAAUCAGACCAACAAAGCCUACUCAAAUGAAUCUGUAUCUUUAUUCAUGGUUCAAGCAUUACUUCCACUUAACUAAAAAUGAAUAUAUCCUCUGGAACUUAAAGGUUGAAAAAAAAGAAUGCAUCUUUAAUCUUUUAUGGUUACAGAUAUAAUAGAAAAAUUGUUUCUGCCCCAAAACCCUACUUUUAAAUAAUUAAUGAAAUAUAGACAUUAAUAAAUGUCUCUAAAAUUGCAUUUCCCAGGGAUAUAUCUAUUUAACUCCUGAUUCUAUUGUUAACAUCACCAAUACAUGGGAAAAGAAACUGAAGCUUUUUAAAUUACAUGCUAAUAUACGGCCAUCAAUUUUAAGGGAUUUUGAAAAGUCCACAAUAGUAAAAAUAGAGUAGGAAAAAUUAUAGUGAAGAAAUAAAAUAAAUUAGCUAAACAAUUAGGCUCUCUUUAUUUAUUUGAAGGAAGUAUUUAGAAGUAUGUGCUGAUUCUUAUGUUCUCAUACUUCAAGAUGAGAUCAUGUUGGCAUGCACUAUUAGGGCCCUCACUCUUGUCCAUAUUGUUUUGGCAAGCUUUAAGCAGAUGGCUCUGUAAUAUGGUAAUACCUUCUCUUUGGAUAACUCUUCAUUUCAAAGCAAUCUGUAGACAUUACACCUUUAAUUACAGGAGACCUCAAGGCACAAAGCAAAAGCAGAAUGAAUUUCAUCAUGGGAAUAUACAAAGCAAGGCAUUAACAUCUAUAGUUAAAUAGGUCAGCAUCAAACUUCUUGCUGUACCACCCACCAUUUCACACAGUUCAGCUAGCUGACUCAUUCAUAACUUUAAGGCUAAUCAGAAUAAAUUAAUGAUUCAUCACUAAUAAAGAUGCAGAGUGUGUACCUUUAUUCUUCAGUAGGGUAACAUGACCCUUCUGAGUACUUCUGGAGCAAAUGUGUAUGAAGUGCUUGGUUUUUUGUCACUAAGUCUAUGUACUCAGAAAAGACACAAAUUUUCAGUAUUCUGGUUUACCACUUGCCAGGCAAAGGAAACUGUAAAUAAAUGUUUCACCACAUAUUUAUGUGAAAAAAAUUAAUUGGUGAAUCGGCUUUGUUGUGAUUCUUAAUAAUAAUGAAUCAUAGUUUUAUACAUGUAGUAGGAUUAAGCAUUUGAGAUUUGAUUCUAGCAUUUCUGUCUAUGUGUUUAUAAUUUAUCCAAUGGAAGUAUUAAAAGAAAAGCUUUUUGGGAGUCCUUAUUAGAGUUCAGAAGUCUCACACUUAUGCACUUCUAUCAAGUGAUGUAAUAGGAAUGUGUUUAAGAUCAGCAGAUGAUAUAUUGAGUGUAAACAUAAUGUGCUCAUGAUGAAAGCCAAAACACUAAUUUAAUUGAUUGGAAGAAAACAGAAAUUCACCAGGAGUCAAAAUCCCAAAUAAGAGGUCCGUGUUUUCAAGGCUUAUUUUAAUAGUAUUAACUACUUCAACAAAUUAUUUUUCUUUGCUUUUUUCCAUUCACUUAAAAAUAUUUAAUGGUUUUAUUGAACUAUAUUUUACAUAUAAAAUUCGCCCGUUGAAAAUAUGCAACUUGAUGAUUUUUAGUAAAAUUUAGAAUUGUGCAAAUAUGAUAGAUUCCAUUUUAGAUAAUUUCUGUCAUUCUAAAAAGAUCUUUAAUGUCCAUUUUUAGUGAAAUCUGCUCCCACCCCCAGUCCCAGCAAACACUGAUAUAAUUUUCAUCUACUUAUUUUUGCUUUUCCUAGAAAUUUCAUAUAAAAAGUGUGGUUUGCAAAAUAAAAUCCCCUGCACUUGUGAAUAUUAUAUCACAUUGGAAAGGGGACUUCACCAAUGUAAAUUGCGUACAAAUGCGGAGAUUAUCCAGGACUAUCUGGAUGGGCCCAAUGUAAUCAAUUCAGCCCUCAAAAGCACAGAACCUUUCUCAGCUGGGUCAGAGAGAUACAAUAAUGGAAGAAGAGUCAGAGAGAUGCAAUGCAAGAAAGACUCAGUCUGCCACUGAUGGCUUUGAAGUUAGAGGAAGGGAGCCAUGAGUCAAGAAAUGGAGGGGACCUCUAGAAGGGAACAGUCAGAGAAAUAGAUUACCCUCUAGAGCCUCAAGAAAGAGACACAGCCCUGUCAAUUUAGCUUAGUGAGACCCAUGUCAGGCUUAUGGCCUCCAAAAUGAUAAGAUAAUACAUUUGUAUUGUUUUAUGUCGUUAAGUUUGUAGGAAUUAUUAUGGUAGCAAUAUAAAACUCAUAGAAAUGACUUCUUUCAUUUUGUAUUAUUUUAAGAUGCAUUCAUUUUGUUGCAUGGAUCAUUCUAUUUUAUUGCUGAGCAUCAUUCUAUUGUAUUGACACCAAAUUUUGUUUUUCCAAUCACCUAUUGGUGGGCAUUUGGGUCGUUUCCAGUUUUUGGCUAUUGUAAGUGAUGAUUUUAUAAACAUUUAUGUACAAAUCUUUUCGUGGAUAUCUAAAUAUAUGAUUUUGUUUCUCUUGGAUAAAUACCUAAGAUUAGAAUUGCUGAGUCAUAUGGUAAAUGGAUACUUAACUUUUAAAACCUCCCAAACUGUUCUUCAAAAUGGUUGUGCCAUUUUACAUCCCCACCAAUAAUGUAUAAAGGUUCCAGUUUCUUGAAAUAUUUGCCAACACUUGGUAUGGUCAGUCUUUUUGAUUCUAGUCAUUCUAGUGGGUAUAUAAUGAUAUCUCAUUGUAAUUUUAAUUUGCACUAUCCUAAUGACUGAUGAUGUUGAGCAUGUCUUCAUUUGGUGUUUUUAUUAUUAUUUUUAGCCAUACAUAUAUCUUCUUUAGUGAAAUGCCUAUUGAAAUAUUUUUCCCAUUUUCUUGUUGAGUUAUUUGUCACCUUAUUACUGAGCUUCAAAAGUUCUUUAUGUAUUCUGUUCAAUAGCCAGAUGACCUCACCUUCUAGCAUUCACACCCUUGAGUAGUGCCUUCCUCAUUGCUCCAGGAUUGGUCUGACCAACAGAACCAAACAACAUAUGGCAGAAAUGGUGGUGUAUCACUUCCAAGGUUAGGUUAUAAGAGACUGUGUUUUCCAUCUCAGCUUCUUUCUCUCCCCUGCCAAACCCCUUUGCAUCAUUCAUUCCGGAGAAUCCAGCUGCCGUGUCUUGAGGACAAUCAGAUGGCCUAUAAAGGGCCCCUGGGACAAGGAACUGAGGUGUUUUUCCAACAGCCAACAAGGAACCGAGGCCUGCCAACAACCGUAUGAGUGAGCACGGAAUUGUCUAGCUCCAGAUGACUGUGGCUUUGGCUAACAGCUUGUCUUGAGACACCCUGAGCCAACACCACUCAGCUAAGCCACUUCCAGAUUCCUGCCCCUCAAAACUGUAUGGCUUGUUGUUUUGAGAUGCUAAGUAUUAAGAGUAAUUCAGCAAUGGAUGACAACUAUAUUCUGGAUACAAGUGUUUAUUAUAUGUAUGAUUUGCAAAUAUAUUUCUCACUUUGUGGUUUGUCUUUCCAUUUUUGAAAUGGGAUCUUUCGAAUACCAUCAGUUUUCAAUUUCGAUGAAGUCAAAUUCGCCAAUUUUUCUUUUGUGAAUCAGGCUUUCAGAAUCAUGUCUAAGAAAUUCUUGCCUAAGGACACACAUUGUUUCUCGGAUGUCUUCUUCUAAAAUGUGGAUAGUUUUAAUUUUUCUACUUAUGUCUCAGAUCCAUGUUUAUUUAAAUUUGUAUAUGAUGUAAAGUAAGCAUCUGAGAUUUUUUGUUUUGGUUUGGUUUGGUUUUUGUUUUGCAUAUAGCAAUCCAUUUGUUCUAACACCACUUGUGGUAAAGAUUAUUGUUUUCCUCUUGAAUUGCCUAGGCAUCUUUGUUAAAAAUCAAUUUACUAUAAAUGUGUGGGUUUUUUACUGGGUUCUUCAUCCAGUUUUAUUGAUCUACAUAUCUAUUAUUAUACUGAUGUCAUACUGCAUUGAUUACUGUAACUUUGUAUUAAAAUUUGAAAUUACA